AUGAGGAAAAAACCAACGCCUGACAUGUUUUUUCCACACGGUUUGGGAGAGGCGGGGCCACCCCCACUGCUUCAUAAGCUGCAAAAUGGCGGGCGAGCAGCGAUGCAUCCUGGGAGCUGUAGUCCCGCCAAGCCACCAAGCUCUCAAAAUGGCCCCCAACGGGGAAAGCGUGGACAACUACAACUCCCAGGAUGCAAAGGGAGGCGACGCGGAAGAGGAUCUGGGGUGCACUUCCGCUUCUUGUUCCUGUCCCCGCCGCUUUGCCUUCUGGGAAUUGUAGUUUCAGUACCGCGUGCUGUAGCGCCGUGGCGUUCGGUGGGAACUCGGUGUCCCAGCGCGCCCCGGGCAGGUGCUGUCGCGGCGGCCGUGAGAAGAGCGGCAGGCGGGAAAGGCGGGCAGCGCUGUGAGCGGGCGCUGGGCCUGCGCAGCUUCGGGCUGCAGGAGGACGAGGCCAGGAUGGGAGAGGCCGAUGGAGAACGUGCCAGCCAGAGAGACACGGGCCUGUCUGCACUGUGCCGUGCCCACAUUGCUGUAACGAACGUGGUGGAAAUGCUGAGAUCUUUGGUGGCUUUAACUGACCCUCGGGAGGGGAAGCUGACUCAGUCUCAAGAGAAAGCAUUAAAGUUGCCAGACAUUUGGAAAACCAUACAUACAGCCGUUCCUGGGCCUACAUCAAGGACCUCGAUGGGCACAACUUUGGAAAACAUUCUAGUAAAGACACACUGAAAAUCACUUCAACCAAGUCUCUUCAUGUUGAGUGUAGAUCAGUUACGCCACAACUUCUCUCGGUACUAUGAUGUGUUGAUUUUUUUGCCUGCAUAUUUGUUUAGCCUUUCCAGAUGGCUUGGUGGGAAUCUGGGUGUUUGUAGAACUGGGUGCUUUUUACUUUGGAAAUCAAUAAACUUUCAGUUGUACUUUGAUUUCUGCA
rnacentral:lncRNA from 1 species